CUUUCAUGGUGGUGCAAUUGGUAGCAGUGUUGCCUUGCAGCAUGAAGGUCCUGGGUUCGACUCCCGGCCGGGAGU